GAUGAACGCUAGCGGGAGGCCUAACACAUGCAAGCCGAGCGGUAUUGUUUCUUCGGAAAUGAGGGAGCGGCGUACGGGUGCGUAACACGUGUGCAACCUGCCUUUAUCUGGGGGAUAGCCUUUCGAAAGGAAGAUUAAUACUCCAUAAUAUAUUGAACGGCAUCGUUUAAUAUUGAAAGCUCCGGCGGAUAGAGAUGGGCACGCGCAAGAUUAGCUAGUUGGUGAGGUAACGGCUCACCAAGGCGAUGAUCUUUAGGGGGCCUGAGAGGGUGAUGUCCCACACUGGUACUGAGACACGGACCAGACUCCUACGGGAGGCAGCAGUGAGGAAUAUUGGUCAAUGGGUGCAAGCCUGAACCAGCCAUCCCGCGUGAAGGACGACUGCCCUAUGGGUUGUAAACUUCUUUUGUAUAGGGAUAAACCUACCCUCGUGAGGGUAGCUGAAGGUACUAUACGAAUAAGCACCGGCUAACUCCGUGCCAGCCGCCGCCGUAAGAC
rnacentral:rRNA from 1 species